rnacentral:rRNA from 1 species
AUUGAACGCUGGCGGCAUGCCUUACACAUGCAAGUCGAACGGCAGCACGGACUUCGGUCUGGUGGCGAGUGGCGAACGGGUGAGUAAAGUAUCGGAACGUGCCCAGUCGUGGGGGAUAACGUAGCGAAAGCUACGCUAAUACCGCAUACGACCUGAGGGUGAAAGCGGGGGAUCGCAAGACCUCGCGCGAUUGGAGCGGCCGAUGGCAGAUUAGGUAGUUGGUGGGGUAAAGGCCUACCAAGCCUGCGAUCUGUAGCUGGUCUGAGAGGGCGACCAGCCACACUGGGACUGAGACACGGCCCAGACUCCUACGGGAGGCAGCAGUGGGGAAUUUUGGACAAUGGGCGAAAGCCUGAUCCAGCCAUACCGCGUGCGGGAAGAAGGCCUUCGGGUUGUAAACCGCUUUUGUCAGGGAAGAAAUCUUCUGGGUUAAUACCUCGGGAGGAUGACGGUACCUGAAGAAUAAGCACCGGCUAACUACGUGCCAGCCGCCGCGGUAA